UACGUAGGGGGCAAGCGUUGUCCGGAAUUAUUGGGCGUAAAGAGCUCGUAGGUGGCCUGUCGCGUCGGCUGUGAAAACUCGGGGCUCAACUCCGAGCUUGCAGUCGAUACGGGCAGGCUAGAGUUCGGCAGGGGAGACUGGAAUUCCUGGUGUAGCGGUGAAAUGCGCAGAUAUCAGGAGGAACACCCGGUGGCGAAAGGCGGGCUCUGGCGGGCAUACUGACGUGAGGAGCGAAAGCGUGGGGAGCGAACAGGAUUAGA
rnacentral:rRNA from 1 species